GUGGUAGCCAGGUACCCCAUAACAGGCGCAGCUAACUUUUAUGGACAGUUUUUAAACCAGUUCGAGGUGCUACCUUUAGGCAAUGACAGUUUGGAGGAUACGUUCUACACUUCAGAGCCCCACAUGUUUGAUGGUUGUAUCUAUCCAUCAGACUGUGCAGAUGUUCACAAUUGUGACCACACCAAGAGCGGAGUUUACCGAGUGUUUCCGUUUGGAGUCGGAUCAGGCUUCCUGGUGCAUUGCGAUAUGGUAACCAAUGGGGGUGGCUGGCUGGUGUUUCAGAGACGAAAAGACGGAUCCGUGGAC